CCUACGGGUGGCUGCAGUGAGGAAUAUUGGUCAAUGGCCGGAAGGCUGAACCAGCCAAGCCGCGUGAAGGACGAAGGUGCCAAGCAUUGUAAACUUCUUUUGUCAAGGGACAAAAUCAGGCUCGAGAGCAUGACUGAGGGUACUUGAAGAAAAAGCAUCGGCUAACUCCGUGCCAGCAGCCGCGGUAAUACGGAGGAUGCGAGCGUUAUCCGGAUUUAUUGGGUUUAAAGGGUGCGUAGGCGGACUGUUAAGUCAGCGGUAAAAGCUGGGGGCUCAACCCGGGCGAGCCGUGGGAACUGGGUGUCUUGAGAUGUCGGGAGGUAUGCGGAAUGCGCGGUGUAGCGGUGAAAUGCUUAGAUAUUGCGCAGAACUCCGAUUGCGAAGGCAGCAUACCGGCGGCGAUCUGACGCUGAGGCACGAAAGCGUGGGUAUCGAACAGGAUUAGAUACCCGGGUAGUC
rnacentral:rRNA from 1 species